rnacentral:rRNA from 1 species
ACGAACGCUGGCGGCGUGCUUAACACAUGCAAGUCGAACGAUGAAGCGGUGCUUGCACCGUGGAUUAGUGGCGAACGGGUGAGUAAUACGUGAGUGACCUACCUUUGACUCUGGGAUAAGCCUGGGAAACUGGGUCUAAUACCGGAUACGACCAAUCUCUGCAUGGGGUGUUGGUGGAAAGCGUUAUGGAGUGGUUUUAGAUGGGCUCACGGCCUAUCAGCUUGUUGGUGAGGUAAUGGCUUACCAAGGCGACGACGGGUAGCCGGCCUGAGAGGGUGACCGGCCACACUGGGACUGAGACACGGGCCAGACUCCUACGGGAGGCAGCAGUGGGGAAUAUUGCACAAUGGGCGCAAGCCUGAUGCAGCGACGCCGCGUGAGGGAUGACGGCCUUCGGGUUGUAAACCUCUGUUAGCAUCGAAGAAGCGAAAGUGACGGUAGGUGCAGAGAAAGCGCCGGCUAACUACGUG